ensembl:lncRNA
CUGUGAUGAGCAAGCAGAUGAUGUGUGCUCAGGAAUCUGCACUCCAUAAACAGGUGGGGGGCUGAGCGUCGAACUUGUUUGCACUCAGAAAAUGUAAAACUCAAUGAACUCCUGGGUUGCUUUCUUAGUUUUUUAAUUUAUUUUCCUUUAAAUGACUUGGGCAAUGAGUUGUAAUGGGGGAGGCUGGUGAGCCUUCAUUGCACCCUACAUGCCAAACUCAUCCCUUGCCCUGCUGACUCCUCCUACCUCCAAGCAGGGCCCCCUCCUGUCCUCAUUGUUUUUUUCCAUAUGUGUUUUCAGCUGUCACAUUGCUAUGGGGUGCCCACCAGCUUUUUUUGAAUAGAUGAAACCCAUCCUGUUUGGUGAGCAUCCACAAAGUAGAAUAAAACCAGGAGAGCCCCUUGGAUGCAGGAGGAAGGACCCAAGGAGAUGAGGAGCUGCCAUAGAUUCCACUGGGAAAUAGUGAGGAGAUGCUUCCAAAUGUUGGUCAUCCUCAAGGAAUCCUCUAAGGAGCAGCAGGAAAGAAGAGAGCAAACAGAGGUGCUUCCCGUGCCAAACACAACAAGGCUUGAGAACUCCCACCAGGAGCAAACCCAGGGCACUUUCUGUGGAUUUGAGAGGCUCAGAAAUUCGUGGGGAAGCGGAGAGGAGCAGAUGUUACACUUCUUGAUGCAUCAAUUUUCUUUUGCAACAAAGAAACCAACCCGAACAGAUCAGGAGAAGAGAAGGGAGUCCUUGUUCCUCUGCUUCUUGCUUGCAAGGGGAAAACAAUUGGGAUUUGAUGGUUUUGGCUACCUCAUACUUCCCUGGUGCCACCAACUUGACUUAGAAAUAGGGACAAAGGGGGACACCAGUUGGCACACUGAGUUUGCUUAGCAUCAGCAUCCCAUUGGGGAGCUGCAGAACUCAUUGCAAAACCCCUUCACUACCUGUGAGCAUUUUCCAUUCCCUCUUCCCACCUGGAAAUUCACAGGGAACCAUCUCACCAUGCACAGCUCAGAUGAACCAUCUUCUCCAGCCGGGGGAUUUGGGGGUCAACAGCCAUCAGAAAUGUGACUAACUCAAAAAUCAAGGCAAUUAAACCCUCUGUGUUGAUUUGAGAAACAAGUAGGAAUUAACUCUGAGGGUUGAGAUGAUAAUUCACAAACCACAUACUUUUGCCAACAGCCACCCCAUGUGAGGCCAGAUCUUUUGGGGUGAGCAUCCUCUGCACUUCUCUUCCCUCCUGGAAAUCACAAAGAGAUGCUUUCCUUCACCAAACUUUCAAUUUCCUCCUUUCUCACCUCAAAACCAGGGUAAGAUUGUAAAUGACUAACUUUUUUUUCCUGAUGCAAUUGCCUUCAGGCAGUUGGCUUUGCUCCCACCCCAGACAAUGCUCUUAAUGUGCUUUUUUUCCCCCCCAAAGCUGCUUAGCAUCCCUGGCUCAAUCCGGUUUCUUGGAACGUGCAUGGAGACGUGGAUGGGACAACCUCCAAAAGCAGAUUUGGGUGCCUUUCUCUGGAGGUAUUUCAAGGUUGCUGCAGUGUAAGCACAAGCAUAUUUUAGGGUAGAGUUUCCAGGCGACUGAUGACGUUGCCGUAAUUACAAACGUGGGGAAAUAAUUCUGACUUUGGAGCGAGGAGAAGAUGAACAAGCAGUGAUAAGGUCCUACUUCAAACACAGAUAACUUAAAAGAUUAGCGAGGCUGGCAGGGGCAGAGCUCACCGCUGAAUUGAAGUCAAAUAGAUGGCUUAACACCAGCAUCGAAUUUAGGAAGGGAAAAAAAAAAGUUAUUUAAGGAUUUACAUCUUGAAAGACCUCAUUUCCCAUCUGGCCUCCUAAUGGAAUUCAUGUUGGGUUGGGGAUGAGAUCCCGCACGCAGCAAAACGCAUCCAUC